GUGGUGGUGAGUCAAUAUUUAGCUAUCUUUUACCUUGAAAGCUUGAAUUUCCUGAAAAUGAAUGAAUAUAGAUGAGCUGAUAUGAAGAUAGGUAGGCUCAGGAAAAUUUUUGGCCAAGCCUGGUUUAUCAUGAGAAAAUAAUAAUAGGAAAAAAAAUCACAUACACAUAUAUGUAUACACACACACACACAAACCAGAUGACAGACAGACACACACAACCAGAUGACAGACAGAUAGACAGACAUACACAACCAGAUGACAGAAAGACACACAACCAGAUGACAGACACACACACACACACACAAAACAGAUGACAGACAG
rnacentral:lncRNA from 1 species